GAGAGUCCCAGCGAGACCGCCGAGAAGACUUGCGCGCAGGCGCGGCCCCGCCCUCUCCCCGAGGCCGGCCGCGUGGCUGGAAGUCAUGGCUCCUUCUCUCCGGGCCCGGGUCGGCGAGCAGCCUCGGGCCUCAGGCCUUUGGCAAGGGCCUGCCUGUAGCAUCUGCGGAGACGGAAGCGGACCUGCAGGUUGAAGCUUAAAAGGACUGGAAUGAAUGGAGCCCCGAAAUGAGUGUUGGCUGUGGGCUUUGAGAAAAGUCACGUGAGAACCAUCAUCUUCAGAUGUUGAGUGUAAGGAUCUUCAUGAUGGAGGUUUCUGUAAACGGGGCGGUCCGGCCUUGGUUUCGGACCCGCGACGGACCCUCCAGGAGAAACCUCUACGCAGCAACGCCUGCAGUGCGAGGCACAGAACUGAGCUGCUUUGCCCGAAGCAAGUGAAACAGUCCUCCCGUUGUGACCUCCCCGUUGUGCCGGCCGGAUCCGCGCAGCCUCUGUUGCUCAUGUUAGUGCCUGUGAAGUGUUUCUCCCAGAGGAGAAUCAUUUCAGAGCUCUGUGGACUUCAUCUUCAAAAAUAGACAGAUAAUUCGAGAGAAAAUGAGUUUAUCCCAGGAAAUUAGUGAAAUUGGGGUAUAACUAAGAACACUGGGAAGCCGCACCGUGGGGGUCGAUAUUUGUUACUCGUGUAUUGGCGGGACUGCGGUGACGGUGGAUGGGGGGUAAUUAACGUGUACUGAGUGUGCUCUUGGGGGAAGCAGAGGCUCCGCCUAGGAAAACAUUUCUCAGUGCGGACUUCUUACGGCAGUGUGUCUUGGGCUUAACUUUUGAAGCACAAAUAAACAUUUUCAAAUGA